CUGGGGAAUUUUUGGAGCACCAAUACCAUUGAUCUUUAUCUCCACCGCAAGUAAAAGAUUGCGCUGUUAUGAUGUAUUGGAUAUGAGUCGGUAUUUCUUUUGUUUGUCUGAUUUUCGGGAACCAAUGAGCACCGGUGCUUGAACAAAUAAGCAGAUGUAUAUAUAGGGUGUUGUUAUUCUACGCUUGUGUUGCUGCUAUAUGUGCAUUUACAAAUUCAUUUAAGUUUCAGUGAAUGGGAUUUGUCUGUACAAGUACUAUGACUUGAUAAAUCCUAAAAAUGGGAUUCUCAAGAAAGGAAGGCAGAUCUUCCUCACGGGGUGCCAUCUUCAUCCUGCUGCUGGAGGAGGGUCUCGUUGUCCUCGACUGUUGCCUACAGAAUAUCUAGUGAUAUUGUUGGAUGAGGAUGAUGAUGGUGAUGCAAUGCUGCUAGGAGCUCAGUUUUGUUCAGAUUCAUUCUCUUCAAUUUCUCCUGAUGCAUUUAGCAAAAACGUUUCUUAUUCAUUUUAUGCAAGAAUUGAGCUCAUUGGCCCCCUGGAAGUUCAAGGAAAGUUUGGAACUUUACAAAGGAAACAAAUCACUCUUAUAGAUGAUGACGGUGCCAAGUUACAAUUUCUACUGUGGGGUGACCAGGUUGUCCUGGCAAAUCUUUUCAGUGUGGGAAGUAUGCUUUGCACUGGAUAAACCAUAUAUUUCAAGUUCCGCAGACACUGCAGCUGAAACAAGUGCUGAAGUUUCCCUUGAAUUUGGUAGUGCAACGCAAUUGUUUUUGGUGCCUUUUGUUCAACACAAGGAACAAGUGUGUGUAUCACUGACACCAAAUCGCCAUCAAGGAUCAAGACUGCUAAGCACAUUAAUUAGAUCCCAGUCAGAGUACACAAGUUUCUCAAGUUUCCUUGCCCUGUGAUUCACACGGGUCUAUUGAUUUUAGUAGUUAUCCUUUUCAAUUUUGCAGUCCUUCAUUAACGAUCUUCGUGACAAGAUGACAGGCGUCAGCCUUUACGGUGUUGUUACGAGUAUCAUCAAAGAAAGAGGUACCACAGAAGCCUAUCUUCUCAUUGCGAAUUGAAGAUACCACUGGAAUAAUUUGGACUAAAUUACAUUUUGUGAAAUAUUGGUCACUGGGAAGAUUAAGCCUUGGCCACACCGUCUACAUAUCAGGUCUGACAUGCUCUAUGAAAAAGCGGAAGGGGUUCCAGCUAAAUAGAUGCCACGACAGCAUAGAAGCAAUAUGGUCCGAGAAUACUGGUGGAGCUUCUUUCUUCAACCUCAUUAGCUUGCCAGCACUGCUAAAUUCAUCUUGUCUUCAUAAACUAACAAAGCUCUCUGAUCUUUCCAGCCAGACUAGCUGUACUCAGAUAGUUCACAUUCGGCUUGAAAUGGUUCAAUUUCAUCUCAGUACAAGGUUGUCACAUGCCGUAUGUGGUCAUUUUGUUACCGAGCAACCCAUGGGAGUUUCUAAAUGCAGCUUUUGUAAUGAGAAUUGUGA